AGCACUGGGCCCAACAUCAACACACCCAGCCCAGCCUCAACAUGGGAAGAACCAGGCCCAGCCUCAACAUGGGCAGAACAAGACCCAGCCCCAACACCCUCAGACCUGCCUCAACAGGAAGAUUUAUCGUCUGGGAUUCAGGCCGGUCCUAACAGGAAACGUGACAAAGGGAAGCAGCUGUAAUGGAGCCUUCUAACACCCAAUCAGGUCUGGAGGAGGAAAGUCACAUAAAGAUUCAGAGAUGCUAUGAGUAUCUUUUGAAGUUACUCUCCAGUUGUAUCCAUUUGAAUAAAUACAGACAUGAAAAUGCUGGGCUACGGAUGUGACCUUGGUUCUGUGAGUAGAGUAACGGGUCACCAAACAAGCUAUGGGAACUCCUUCCCUUUAUCGUGAUGUGAUUGAGAUGCUUAAUAUCAACGAUGUUUACAAUGACGCCACACCCUUACUGUACCAUUGUGACCUGUCACUAUUAAAGGCGGUGUGACGUGA